GUUUGCGUCCCUGGAAGCCGUGUUUCACACGGACAUUUGUUGCAGACGGACGCAGUCUUGGACCAGUGAUAAACUUUUGACAGUGAGAAAAACGACAGACGAGCAUAUUGUUUCGUUUGUGCUUGUCAUCUCGUGUGCUGGGCCAUGCAGCAGUUCCCUCGAAAGCAGGCGUCACGCGCCAUCUACCGGCGAGUGAGGUGUGUCAACCCGUGGUGUACAUUCAGCAAUUUAGAGUUCGCGAGGCGCACAAUUAAUGCUGAUUGGCCCAAUUACCGUCAAAGGAGGCGAGCCUAAACACAAACAAAGAGACAAGAAAAUGGAUUCUAAUGGAUUCUAAUGGAUUUAGAGGGCCUGAGAUUUGGGAUAAUAGUCGUUUCUGCGAGCGUGCGACGUGGACUGCGUCUGGAUGGCGACCGGGUCCGACGAGGUCAAAGUCCGCCGGUAACUUUGAGGAGUCUGCCGAGGAGGAGGACAAGACGAUGAAGAGGCGAGGACGGCUGAUUUACGGCUCCCGUUCUGCACCUCUCGACGUUUUAUGAUACGUUGUUACUGCGACUGAGAUACAUUUGACCCUCCGUUGUCAUUUGUUUGAGACGCCGACUGAGCGUCUCCUUCAAGGCCUGUAAUAUAUUCAUAUAUAACUUCCAGUAUACGAUACUGUACAAGCAAAGUAGAGAAUUUCAAUGCUAAAUAUAGAUUUUUCUAUGUAAAAACCAACACGAAUGUAGCAUUUUACAGGCAAAAUAUGGCAUGUUGAGUGUAAAAUACGCAAGAUCUAGCAUUUACAAGGCAAAAUAUAAUAUUUUGGAUGAAAAAUACCAGCAAUAUCAAACAUUUCCUAGACAAAGUAUAGCGUUUUGAGUAUCAAAUACAAGCGAACGCUACUACUUUUAAGGCAAUAUAUAGCAUUUUGAAUCUAAAAUACAUGCAAAGCUGGUAUUUAAAGACAACAUAUAGCGUUUUGAGAAUAAAAUCCAAGCAAAAUAUACCAUUUUGAAGGCUAAACAUAGUAUUUUCAGCCUGAAACACAAGAAAAAUAGAGCAUUAUCAAGGCAAAAUGUGGCAUUUUCACUGCGAAGCAAAUGUUUGCAUUUUCAAGGCAAAUGUAGCGUUUUGAGUCUAAUGUGCAUGCUCAAUAUUAUUAUACGAUCAUUUUAGAGGCAAAACAUAUUCAUAGUGUCAGCCAAAAGCAAAUACGAGCAUUUUCAACCUACGAUAACAUAUACAUAGGUACUUAUUAUAAAACAAUGGGCACAGUUCAUCAUGAAGUUUGUAGUAUAAUAUUUGGAAUGAUUUAGAAUUAUUUGUAUUUAUCAUCACUGUGCAAAACAUCAAUACACACCAUUGAUUUGAAAAUAUAUUUAUAACAAAUGUUUAUAACCUAUGUUAAUUCAUGUUAAUGUAUAUCAAAGCGAAGGUACACAUUUUUCAAAUCACGACAUUGGUUACUAAGAUUUGUUGCUAAAACGUUUACAUAAUAUGAAGUCAUUUAAAAAAGUCUUUUUUUUGUCGCAUGUGUACUAUACAACAUGAUUUAUAUAUAUUUUGUUGUAAUUUAAGCAUCAUUACAGCUUCAUUUAAUGUCAUAGUUGCAUCCAACGCGCAUGCACAAACACACACGGUUCCUCUGAGUGAUGCGAGUGGAGAACAUCAAAUCCUCAUUCUGUUCAUUAGGACGUUAAGGGGGGGGAAAAGAAAACAAAAAAAAGAGUAAGAACAUGAUUGUGAGCCAAAGAAGCAUUUGGAGAGAGGAUGCUCGUGGGAAAUUACUGUUUUUAACUUAAUAAGUUGUUUUAUUCUUUGCAGAUUGUGCGAAGAUUUGCGGGAUUGCAAAGCAAACACAUGAAAAAUCCACGUGGGAACGUUGGCAGCGCUGUCAACUCAAUAAAGUUCACGUCAAGUCUUCCGGAAAUUUGACUUGAACUUCGCACACACGCGCAGAGAGAUCUAUCUUUUUUGGAACACAGAUAAAGACGUAAUGUACGACUUAAGCGUAUUUUCUUUUCUUAUCUGCUGCUACAUUGAAACAAAUGCAUGUUUGUGUAAUAUUUAAAAUGAUUCACGCGCUUCCACUUGAUAAGACCGCACCGUGCGAGGGGCUCCCACGGAUCCAACACAUCCUGCAGCUCCCCGCACGCUAAAUUAUUAUCAGCAUUUUUAUUCUAUCUAGCGCAGACUUUUAUUACCUUCUCAUAUUUCAUUCAUUCGGGGUUUUGAAAGUAGGGUUUCAAGCAAGGGUCAGGGUUUCAAUCAAAUUGGGGUUUCAAGCCAGGGUCAGGUUUCCAGCAACAGUUGGUUGUUUCAAAUUAGGAUUUCAAGGCUGGGUUAGGGUUUUAGAAUUAGGGUUUCUCAGUAAGGUUUCAAGCCAGGGUUACGGUUUCAAACUUGGUUUAGGGUUUCAAGUGAAGCUUGUUUGGCUCUUUCAUAGUAAUGUGACUAAAACGUGUCCUGAGCAAUAAGAGUUUCAUCAGUAACCAUAUGUUUAAAGUCACAUUGUUGUAUCCAUGGUGAUAUUGUUUCAUUGUUGUUGUUGUCGUUUUGUUUUGUCUGCGUGCGUGCGUGUAUGGAACUUGCACGGUGCCACCUGUGCACCAGUCUUCACAGUUGGCUGACUUCAUUUUGUGCCCCCCACUGCGCCCUCUGGCGGAGCAACCUCUGCACUACAUCAACAAAGCGCCAAGCGUCACAUUGCAACACAGGAUCAAAUGUAUGUGAAGUCAUUUGACCAUUUUUUUUUUUCAAUAUGAUUGAUAUCCAGCUUCGGUCCAUGCACUACUAUGCUUACUAGUAAGGCGAUUCGGCGCACUAGGAGAACUACUGUCAUAGUAGUACAUUUUGUGGAAAAUCCCUAUUAGUUCCCUAGUGCCCAAACGGCUUUGCAUAUAGCUGAAAGUUAUUUUUGUGAGUAAGACAUGACUUGAAGGUUUUGUUGUUGUACCAGGUUUAAUGAAGUUGAAGAAUAGCAGGUCAGUGCUGGUCUCGACCGGUCUCGACUGAAAAUCCAGAGUCUGGCCUGUCCGAGACCGAGUCAGAGACAAGGCCGAGACCUGCAAAAGUGGUCUGGAGACCAAGACCAAUCUCUGGUGUUAAAACAUAAUAAAUGUGUG